GAUGAACGCUGGCGGCGUGCCUAAUACAUGCCAGUCGAGCGAACAGACGAGGAGCUUGCUCCUCUGACGUUAGCGGCGGACGGGUGAGUAACACGUGGAUAACCUACCUAUAAGACUGGGAUAACUUCGGGAAACCGGAGCUAAUACCGGAUAAUAUAUUGAACCGCAUGGUUCAAUAGUGAAAGACGGUUUUGCUGUCACUUAUAGAUGGAUCCGCGCCGCAUUAGCUAGUUGGUAAGGUAACGGCUUACCAAGGCGACGAUGCGUAGCCGACCUGAGAGGGGGAUCGGCCACACUGGAACUGAGACACGGUCCAGACUCCUACGGGAGGCAGCAGUAGGGAAUCUUCCGCAAUGGGCGAAAGCCUGACGGAGCAACGCCGCGUGAGUGAUGAAGGUCUUCGGAUCGUAAAACUCUGUUAUUAGGGAAGAACAAAUGUGUAAGUAACUAUGCACGUCUGGACGGUACCUAAGCAGAAAGCCACGGCUAACUACGU
rnacentral:rRNA from 1 species